UGGUGUGUGGGUGGGAAGGACUGGAUUUGAAAUGGUCCCACUCCUCACACCCCUGUCCCUGUCUCCCACAG
ensembl:miRNA